GUAGGGAAUAUUGGGCAAUGGUCGGAAGACUGACCCAGCCAUGCCGCGUGCAGGAAGACGGCCCUCUGGGUUGUAAACUGCUUUUAUCUGGGAAGAAAAAGGCCAUGCGUGGCAAAUUGCCGGUACCAGAUGAAUAAGCACCGGCUAACUCCGUGCCAGCAGCCGCGGUAAUACGGAGGGUGCGAGCGUUGUCCGGAUUUAUUGGGUUUAAAGGGUGCGUAGGCGGCUGAUUAAGUCAGCGGUGAAAGACUUCGGCUUAACCGGAGCAGUGCCGUUGAUACUGGUUGGCUUGAGUGUAGGAGGGGUACAUGGAAUUGAUGGUGUAGCGGUGAAAUGUAUAGAUACCAUCAGGAACACCGAUAGCGAAGGCAUUGUACUGGCCGACAACUGACGCUGAUGCACGAAAGUGUGGGGAUCGAACAGGAUUAGAAACCCGUGUAGUCC
rnacentral:rRNA from 1 species